CUGAAGGGUAGUGUUGACUGAAAGGUAGUGUUGACUGAAAGGUAGUGUUGACUGAACGGUAGUGUUGACUGAAAGGUAGUGUUGACUGAACGGUAGUGUUGACUGAACGGUAGUGUUGACUGAAAGGUAGUGUUGACUGAACGGUAGUGUUGACUGAAAGGUAGUGUUGACUGAAAGGUGCUGUUGAGUAAUAAGACAAGCUUAUGGCCAAGGUUGUGUCUGGAAUGCCUGAGUAUACAGGCUGAGUAAACAUUAACCUGGACCAAAUACUUAUUACGUAAACAAUGACUGCCGAAGCACACACCGACAAGGACACAAACACAUGUCUUAGUUCACAAUAUAUGUCACGUGUACUCCCUCUCCGGCCUCUAGGUCAUCGGGCUGCUGAUUAUUCCGCACACCUGUCACCAUCGUCUCACUUCACCUGCGCCUCAUGACACUCAUGAGUGAAAUACCAAGAGUGUGCCAAGCUGUCAUCAAGGCAAAGGGUGGCUACUUUGAAGAAUCUCAAAUAUAAACAAUAUAUUUAGAUUUGUUUAACACUUUUUCUGGUCACUACAUGAUUCCAUAUGUGUUAUUUCAUAGUUCUGAUGUCUUCACUAUUAUUCUACAAUGUAGAACAUAGUAAAAAAAUAAAGAAAAACCCUUGAAUGAGUAGGUGUGUCCCAAUCUUUGACUGAUACUGUAAAAGUAAUUGAUUUGGGUUUGAGAUAAACCUACUGUAGUUUUAAUCAUACGUAUCCUUACAAUCUUCACAUGGCAUUUACAUAAAAUGUAUAAAAUGAC
ensembl:lncRNA